GACAGAGGUUGCAAACGUUGUUCGGAAUUACUGGGCAUAAAGCGCACGUAGGUGGUUCGCUAAGUCGAAUGUGAAACUCCUCGGCUCAACCGGGGAACGGCAUUCGAUACUGACGAGCUUGAGGUCCGGAGGGGUGAGUGGAACUCCUGGUGGAGCGGUGAAAUGCGUAGAUAUCAGGAGGAACACCGGUGGCGAAAGCGGCUCACUGGCCGGAAACUGACACUGAGGUGCGAAAGCUAGGGUAGCAAACGGG
rnacentral:rRNA from 1 species